AAAAUCGAUCCUUAUCUAUAACCCAGCAGUGCUGGGUUGGGAACGCGGACGUGAAAGAGAGCACGCACGUCACGUCAACAUGCAGGGACAUCAACGUGAGAAACCGCCAUUUUCUUUGCGCUGUCUUUGAGGGGAAGCGAGUGAAAUUCUGUGUGAGACGUAAGUUAUUUAGUGUGUAUUUAACAAUUUUCAUAAGAAAUAACACACUUAGUUUACUUAGUAUAAUAUACACGCGCUUUUUUUUCUGUUUCUCCGCCUGAUGGCCGACUUGUUGCUCCGCCUCACGCUGACCUGUGCUCGCCUUAUGGCUGAACUGUUGCUCCGAGUCCGCCUGACGAGCCACCUGUUUCUCCGGAUCUGUUUCUCCGCCUAACGGCGACGUGUUUCUCCGGACCUGUUUCUCCGGACCUGUUUCUCCGCCUAACGGCGACCUGUUUCUCCGGACCUGUUUCUCCGCCUAACGCCCGAGCUGUUGCUCCGCCUAACUCCUGACCUGUGCUCGCCUCACGCCCGACCUGUUGCUCCACCUCACGCCCAGCCUGUUGAUCGGUGGACGGGUAAGCGCGCAUGGCAUCGGAAGGAGCUCGAAAAGUAUAAGGUGAUGACAAUGGAUAAUUGCGUGAAAAUCAAACUAAAAGAAUGCAAUCUUGAGGAG